CCCUUAGACGUUCUGGGCCGCACGCGCGCUACACUGACCAGUGCAACAAGCAUCCGUCCUUGGCCGACAGGCCUGGGCAAUCUUUGAACAUCGAUCGUGAUCGGGAUAGAUUCUUGUAAUUUUUGAUCUUAAACGAGGAAUUCCUAGUAAACGCAAGUCAUCAGCUUGCAUUGAUUACGUCCCUGCCCUUUGUACACACCGCCCGUCGCACCUACCGAUUGAAUGGUCCGGUGAAAUCUCCGGACUGGCGUGAGUCGGAGCAAUCUGACAAACACCGGAAAGUUGAUUAAACCUUACCAUUUAGAGGAAGGUGAAGUCGUAACA
rnacentral:rRNA from 1 species